UACGGAGGGAGCUAGCGUUAUUCGGAAUUACUGGGCGUAAAGCGCACGUAGGCGGCUUUGUAAGUAAGAGGUGAAAGCCCAGAGCUCAACUCUGGAAUUGCCGUUUAGACUGCAUCGCUUGAAUCAUGGAGAGGUCAGUGGAAUUCCGAGUGUAGAGGUGAAAUUCGUAGAUAUUCGGAAGAACACCAGUGGCGAAGGCGGCUGACUGGACAUGUAUUGACGCUGAGGUGCGAAAGCGUGGGGAGCAAACAGG
rnacentral:rRNA from 1 species